UGGCGUGACACGGGGCGCCGCCCGUUCCAGCUUUCGAGCACGGGACGUGGUCGGCUGAGAUGACACCCGUUGAACCUGAUCCAGUUAGCACUGGCGAAGGGAAUGUCCGGACUUUCACCC
rnacentral:ncRNA from 2 species